UGAACAUGUGAUACUGUGAGACAGAAUAUGUGAUAGUGUGAUACUAAACAUGUGAUAGUGUGAUACUGAACAUGUAAUAGUGUGAUAUUGAAUAUGUGAUAGUAUGAGACUGAAAUUGUGAUACCGGGAUAUUGUUACUGAUACGGUGAUGCUGAUACUGUGAUACUGAUACUGAUACUAUGAUACUGAUAAUGAUAAAUGUGAUAUGAAGCACUAUACAAUGGGUCAUCCAUUGACAGUGUGAUGUGAUUUGCUAUGAUACUGAUAAAUGUGACAUGAAUCACUAUGCACUUGGUUAUCCAUUGAUAGUGUGAUGUGACACAAUGAGAUGUGAUAUGAGAGCAUGAACUUGCACCAUGAUGAGAUGUGAUGUGGGAGCAUGAACUUGUACCACGAUGAGAUGUGAUGUGGGAGCAUGGACUUAUACCACGAUGAAAUCUUUCCCUAACUCCUGAUGAUAGGAAGGGAGCUAGGAUGUGAUGUGAACUUGGCGAGGUCGCGCCCCCCAAGAUGUAUGGGCACUAUACAUUGGGACCCCUUUGGUAGUGUAAUGCCCUCUAGCAGGAUGCAAAGAGAGGACAGUGUCUUGUAAGGCCAAGAGCCUAUCAAUAGCCCCAAAGCCUGUUAGGGAUUGUGCGUGUGUGAGGACAAUACGAAGUAGAUCACCCACUUGUCAUUGUCUUCCCUUCUGAGUGAUGAUAGAGGUCCUAAGCAAUGGGAUUGACUUGGCCUGAUGAAUAGGACUUCUAUUUCGGGAGUAGGUGGACUAAGGAGUGAGUUAGCUGGUAAAUGUGGUGUUUGGCUAAGCAUAUGACUCUGAUAAGAUUAGUACUGUUGAGUAAAUAAAUGAUCUCCUUCCGUAUCAUAUCCAGUGGUAUAACAUGUUAUUGUUGCACUGUGAAUCAACUGUGAUACUCUGAUAGAUGUGGUUUUACCAUAUGACUCAUGUUUACUGAGGAUUGUGUUAUAAUAUCUUGUAAUUGUUAUAAAAUGAUAUUCUUAGGCAGGGAAGCAAGGUGUUGUGAUCGACUUACUGAGUUUUGUAGCUCAUUUCGUUUACUUCUCUCUUUGUAGAUUGAUAGCUAUAGGUUGAGGACAAGUGAGUGGCAAACGACAUUAACUACGUGAAGAUCCGCUCAACGAGAAAUCUUUCUUAGGCUGUAGGUAUCUGUUGGCUGUCGCCAUUCAGUGGUUUUAUUGUACAUGUUAUGUAUGUUUGUGAGGCCGUGUUGCCUCGGACCAAUUGUAAUGAUUUUGGGUUUUGUAUAUGUGUAACUUGAUAGUUUUUUUUAUUUAUCCGACUUUUUUU
rnacentral:lncRNA from 1 species